rfam:Trichobilharzia regenti genome assembly, scaffold: TRE_contig0014630
AUCCAGAUGACGAGUCCCAAAUAGGGCAAAAUGCAAGUCCUGGAU